UGUAAACAUUUAAUUUUAGAUUAACAUAAAAUAAUAAUAAUUUAUAUUAUGCCACCCAAAAAGAAAAUUGAAAGAGUUGAUGAUACUUUUAUAGUGGAAAAAAUUAAUUGUACUAUUCCCAACAAUAAAUUUGCGACUACACAAGAAAUUCUUCAAUACUACAACUUUCUAAAAAAAUCUAUAUCUGAAGUUAAACUGAGUUUUGAUGUCGGAUGUCCAAACAAAAGUGGAUCGUUCUCACCAAAUUGUUCUACCAGUCAGUUACAUUGCUGCAUAAUAUCUAAACUUGUAGUUCUAUGGACACGUGGUGGAUUUGAAGUAAUUACAACUCAGAAGCUAAGGAUCAAGGUCGAAAAAAUGGUGAAAAACUGGAUGAAGCUGAAAAGCCGAAGUAAAAGAAACAACCCUGCUGAAGUUAAAAAAAGAAAGAACUUUAUAGAAAAUACCCCACUAAAUAUGAUUUAAAAAAUAAGGAAAGAUAGGUUGAGAAACCAAAAUGACAAAGAGGAAAACAUAACUUUUCUUAAAGACCAGUUAGAGGAAAGGAAAGUUAGGGGGAUUGGAUAAGAGAUUUCAGUGCUCAUUAAAAAAAAAAGUAUAAAUCUAAAUGUAAUUAUAAUAAGUUAAAAAGUGUAUCUGAUACUGAUUCUGAAAAUUCAUUAAGUUCUUUUAAUAUCAAUAAAAACAAUUCAACUGAUAGUAAAUUUGAAAUUGUGCCAUAUAUUGAUCCGACAAAUUCUGUCAGCCUACCCAAGAAUAUCUUGCACCAUUAGAUAAUAACAGCAGCUCACACAGCAGUUAGAGAGGGUUUAACUCCACAGCAACAUACAGCAAUUCUUAACUGUAUUAUUGUCAAUUCUGGAGGAUGCCUGUCUGAGUUUGUAUGCUCUAACUCCUCAUCAUACAGAGCAGCAGAGAAUGCUGUGUUAUUCGGCGCAAAUGAAAUCAGAGACCAUAUAAAAAGCAUUUCUAAACCUUCGAAUUCUCUAAUAACAAUUCAUUUUGAUGGAAAAAUUGUGAAAGAACUUACUGAGGGAAAACAAUUUUCAAAAGAUAGGUUAGCUGUUCUUGCUAGGAUUAAAGGACAAACUGAGUUACUUGGAAUUUCAGCAAUUGACUCUAGAUGAACUUAUUUCUAACUUUGGAUUAGAUUAGCAAAAGAAGCUUGUAGCAGAAUCAUUGUGCACUUACUAUGUUAUUAACUGCAUGUCAACGCCAUAUUUUUGAGUGUCAUGUUACCUGUUUUUCUUUUAUCCAAGCAGUCAUAUUUCAGGACCAGAAAAUAAAUUAUUUAAAGUUCUUAGGAACUUUUGGAAUGAUCUAGAUACUGAAAAUCAAGAUUUAAAAAGAUUAUCAACUCCUACUGAUUCCUGGAAUAACAAACAAAGGCUGAGUACUAUUCAAUUUUGCAGAUAUAUAAUUAGCACUAAAGUUUUUAAAAAGGAAUUGUCUGAACUUACAUUAAUCGUACCAUCACACAAUAACAGAUUUAAACUUCACAAUCCUGGAGCUGUUUAUCCUGAUUCAUGGGUUAAAGUUUAUUUUACCUAAAACUGUUUCUACUUAUGGAAAAAAUCCCUGAAAUCAAUGAAGAGAGCAGGGAUGAAAUCACUGAAAUGACAAAGUUCGUUUUAAUUUUUUAUACUGAAUGGUUUCUUCAAGCGGAGCUAAGUUCAGCUGUUUCGAUGCAGGAUAUAAAAGCAUACUGGCAGAUGAAAAGGUUUGAGGAAUCAAAUAAAGCUGGGGCUCAAGCUGUUUCUAAAUCCAUAAUGCGACCUUUGAUCUAACCUUGACCCAUAGUCAUUAUAGCAGUUGCAGAUCAGAAAUGUAAAGAAUGUGUCGACAUGGCUAAGAGACUAUUUAGUCUAAAACAAGCCCUAUAGAAGAAUAUUCUUUAGAAAGACAGGUGUUGGAUAAAGACAGUCUGAUGAGCUUAAACAUUUCACAGGGUGAGCCUCCCAGUUUAGUUCCACUAGCUACAGAGAAGUCCUUGUAUUUGAUAUGCUUGUAUUUGACAUGCUUGGUCAUGGAAAGGCUGAGGUUCAAUGGAUGAAGCUUCCUCUAGAGUAUUGGAGUUUUGAUGUUGUGAAUAAUUUUUUAGAAAGACCAGUCAAAUUAGUUCAACAACUUGUUAACAAAUUACCUUCAGAAGAAAAAAGACAGGAUACAUUUUACUUAUGUGUACAAGCGAAAUUGAAAUAGUAGAAAAAAGUUAAAUCUUGCCAAAACUGCACUCAAUAGUAUUAUUUGAUAUCUACUUUUUUAUCCAAUUUAUUUUUGAAACACUUGUAAAUUUUUGGUUUUUGUUU